GAUUUAGGGAAUACCAAAGAAAUUGUCCACACCAUGGAUAUACCAACGAACACUUGAUGGGUAUCUUCUAUCGAAGUAUUACUCCCACUACAAAAAAAUAGGUAUAUUGCAAUGACGAUUACAUAUUGCAAUAUGCCAUAAUAUUGUUGGAAACAUAUAAUUUGCAAUAUAAUUGCGACAAUUUUAUAAUGUUGCUAUUUGUGUCUUGUUGCUAGUUUCACAAUAAUUUGAUUUGUUAUUAUAUUUAUGGUAUUAAUACAAUGAUAUUUUUAUUGCAAAUUUAUCGUAUUAAUGCUACAAAACAGACAUAGCAAAUCAUUAAUACAAAACAGACAUAGCAAAUCUUGAUUUGCAAUGAAAUUAGUUCUUGUUAUUUUGUGGUAUUCACGCAACAAAAUUCUGGUUAGAUACAACAAACAACAAACAUUUGCAACUUCAAAUUGUCAUCAAUAUCUGCGGAGAUUGGCGGCUUGCAAUUUAAGGCUAGGUGGUUUAGGCAGUAACCGAUUUCUCAGUCUACUACCGACUUUAAAAAAAAACCGGUGACAAUUUUAAAAACCAGUGACUAGUUACUAUUAUUCAGGCCCAAUAACUGUCCCAAAUGGAGUAAAUUGCGAAAGGAAUUUCCUACGGGCCCAUUGUAUGUAUGAGUAUAAUUU
rnacentral:lncRNA from 1 species